AUUUCUCUGAGGUAAACGCCCAGGAGGGCCACUGUUGGAUCAUGUGGUGGAUUCACAUUUCGGGUUAUAAGGAACCACCUAACCAUCUUCCUGAGUGACGUGCUGUUAGGUUCCCACCAGCAGCGUGGGAGUGAUUCAGUUCGUCUGCAUCCUAACCUGAGUUCUAUGCUGUCACAAUCGCUUAGAAUAGUCAUUGUGGUGAGUAUGCCGUGACAGAGCCUUGUGGCUUCAAUCUGCACUGCCCUGGCAGCUAAUUACGCUUUCAAUCCUUUCCCGGGCUCAUUUUCCAUCUAUCUACGCUUCUACGUGAAAGACUCAUUCAUGCCCAUUGCUCAUUUUCUGACAGAGAUUGGUGUCUGGUGUUUUUACUAUUGAGUUCGGAAAGUUCUUUAUAUAUUCUAGAUACUAGUCCUAUGUUGGAUACGUGGUUCCAAAUAUUCGUCCAAGUCUGAAGUUUAUCUUUUCAUCCUCUUCACAUGGUCCUUCCUGGUGUGAUCAGAAGGACACCUUGGAGUUGUUAUCGGGAUUCUGAACCAGAUUGGAACCUUUGAAGUGCUAUUUGGGUUCAGAAGUAUGACCAAUGAUCAAGGUCUACAAAGACCCAGUCAAAUAGUACAAGGCAACAGGGGCUAAUUUGUAUCGACAAACUGAGGAAGCUAACACCACCAAAGUUGUACAUUCCCGGCUAAACACCUAAGGAUGAUCCCUCCGCGUCUAAUUUGUUGUCUCUCUGAUGGUGGAUGAAGCGAUGAAAAUUCCUAAUUCCUUCUUUGGUCAUCUUAGCUGCUAAUCUACAAUGACUUCAGCAGUUAAGGGUUGAGAGUCAUCGUUUCAUUAAAAGAUAAUAUUAUUCUCUUUA